rnacentral:rRNA from 1 species
AGAGUUUGAUCAUGGCUCAGGACGAACGCUGGCGGCGCGCCUAACACAUGCAAGUCGAACGAGAGAUGAGGAGCUUGCUCUUCAAAUCGAGUGGCGAACGGGUGAGUAACGCGUGAGGAACCUGCCUCAAAAGAGGGGGACAACAGUUGGAAACGACUGCUAAUACCGCAUAAGCCCACGGCUCGGCAUCGAGCAGAGGGAAAAGGAGUGAUCCGCUUUGAGAUGGCCUCGCGUCCGAUUAGCUAGUUGGUGAGGUAACGGCCACCAAGGCGACGAUCGGUAGCCGGACUGAGAGGUUGAACGGCCACAUUGGGACUGAGGACACGGCCCAGACUCCUACGGGAGGCA